UUUAGUAGUUUUUCCUUAAAUUGGGCUCACCUGGCAAUCUAAUUAUCACAGGUGUCCGAGAUUGUUUUCAGUGAUCAAAAGAGCCCUGAGACACAAUGCCACCCAUGAGUUAAACUGAAAAACAAAAUAUUUAAUCUUUGUGACACUUAAAUAGAAUUUGCAUAAUAAUUUGGAACAGGGUGUAUAGAUAGAAGAGUGCUUGUACAUAUCCAAAUUUUUGUAGAUAGAACCACUUAGUCUUGAGCUAGCCUUGAAUAAAUGCAAUAAGGCAAAUGAGAAACUUAUGAG